rnacentral:misc_RNA from 1 species
GGCAGCCACGUUUCUACUUUCCUUUUCCGCUUUUCUACUCUUCUCCCAAACAAACCCCUAUAUAUAUAAUUCCCUCUUCCUCCCUCUCUUUUAUUCAUAUAGCCCAAAAACUACUGAACUUCUCUCUUCUAAGAAAUUGUUUGUGCGCAAAAUACACUGUGAUAAAAAUGGAUGGGAAAAAUGCUCUUUGGAUCGGAUUUCUCUGCAUUAUCGUCGCCGGUGUAGGGGGUCAAGCUCCUGCCACGUCACCCACUACUAGCCCCGCACCACCAACAUCCACUACCCCUACACCUACCGGUUCUCCACUUCCGGCUACUUCAUCUCCACCUCCUGCAGUAAGUUCACCUCCUCCAUCUGUAUCUUCUCCACCGGCUUCUUCACCACUACCUUCCGCUUCUCCUCCUCCACCAGUGAGCGCUCCACCACCAGCUACUCCUCCA